UUGGCGACUCUCCCCGGCUCUUCCACUUCAUCUUCUCCAAUUUCUGUUUUUUUUUUCCCUUUAGAUUCUCAAUCAAUGACGAUGUUAAGGCAAUUCUUAAAAGUUUUGCUCCACCUCCGCUUGAUACUUCUCCUAUAUAUAGCUCUAUCUCUAAACCUAAAUAAAAAAAAAAUCAACUCUGCAAAAGCUACAUCCAUGGCUAUGAAAUCCACCAGGAAGUCUCAGCUUACCACCAGAAAAUCUCCCGUCACCAUGUAUUUCAUCGACAUCUCACCAGGACGAUCUGAGUCACAGCUUCGAUUCUGGCUAAUCCAUUUUUAGGAGGCAAAAAACAUAGCCAAAGCUGGGGCCUUUCUUGGCUUAGAGCUCCUACUCAUCGAUGAGUAGGGGACUGUGAUGCAAGGUUUCAUAUUUCAUCCCACUCACUAUAUAUCUCACAAGGUUUUGCUCCUCGAUCGUGUUGAAGAACGUGUUGAAAGUAUCAUAUGCAAACACACUGGCGAAAUCGAUCACUUUUGUCAAGGAAAAAAAU